AUUGAACGCUGGCGGCAUGCCUUACACAUGCAAGUCGAACGGCAGCACGGGUGCUUGCACCUGGUGGCGAGUGGCGAACGGGUGAGUAAUACAUCGGAACAUGUCCUGUAGUGGGGGAUAGCCCGGCGAAAGCCGGAUUAAUACCGCAUACGAUCUCGGAUGAAAGCGGGGGACCUUCGGGCCUCGCGCUAUAGGGUUGGCCGAUGGCUGAUUAGCUAGUUGGUGGGGUAAAGGCCUACCAAGGCGACGAUCAGCAGCUGGUCUGAGAGGACGACCAGCCACACUGGGACUGAGACACGGCCCAGACUCCUACGGGAGGCAGCAGUGGGGAAUUUUGGACAAUGGGCGAAAGCCUGAUCCAGCAAUGCCGCGUGUGUGAAGAAGGCCUUCGGGUUGUAAAGCACUUUUGUCCGGAAAGAAAUCCUUGGCCCUAAUACGGUCGGGGGAUGACGGUACCGGAAGAAUAAGCACCGGCUAACUACGU
rnacentral:rRNA from 1 species